CGCUGGCGGCGUGCCUAACACAUGCAAGUCGAGCGAAGCAUAAAAGAUAGCUUGCUAUCAUUUAUGACUGAGUGGCGAACGGGUGAGUAACACGUGGGUAAUCUACCUGAAAGUCUGGGAUAACAGUUCGAAAGGGCUACUAAUACCGGAUGACAUUAUGAUGUAGAGUCAUCAAUCAAAGCGUUACGGAGCGCUUUCAGAUGAGCCCGCGUCCCAUUAGCUAGUUGGUAAGGUAAAGGCUCACCAAGGCGACGAUGGGUAGCCGGUCUGAGAGGAUGGACGGCCACACUGGAACUGAGACACGGUCCAGACUCCUACGGGAGGCAGCAGUGGGGAAUUUUGCGCAAUGGGGGCAACCCUGACGCAGCGACGCCGCGUGAGCGAAGAAGGCCUUCGGGUUGUAAAGCUCUGUCUGGGGGGAAGAUAGUGACGGUACCCCCGGAGGAAGCCCCGGCUAACUAUGUGCCAGCAGCCGCGGUAAUACAUAGGGUGCAAGCGUUGUCCGGAUUUAUUGGGCGUAAAGAGUUCGUAGGCGGUAUAUCACGUCGGGUGUGAAAACUCAGGGCUUAACCCUGAGCCUGCACUCGAUACGGGUUUACUUGAGGACGGCAGGGGAGACUGGAACUCCUGGUGUAGCGGUGGAAUGCGCAGAUAUCAGGAAGAACACCAAUGGCGAAGGCAGGUCUCUGGGCCGAUUCUGACGCUGAGGAACGAAAGCGUGGGGGAGCAAACAGGAUUAGAUACCCUGGUAGUCCACGCCGUAAACGGUGGAUGCUAGGUGUGGGAAACAUUAACGUUUUCUG
rnacentral:rRNA from 1 species